UUGUAAAAACACAAGAGUCCACAACUUCAUGUAAUUACAACUAGAACCCAAAAUUUUAAAAAAUAAUAAAAACAUCAUUAAAGGAGCAAAACAAUUUGUCCUUUAGAGUUUUUGGGCCUUAACGUAAAAACGUAAACUUUUGGGCCAAAAUCACCCCCCACUUGGGGUUGGCCGGUUUUAGUAGUGAAAAGGAGUGUGAAAGGGUUUUGGUGAUAAAUGUGCAUGCAAGUGGAAUAGGUGUUGGAAAUGUGCCCUAAAGACAAUCAUAUGAUGAUACUUUACGGACAUUUUACAUGUUAAACUAAUCUAGUUUAACUAUAAAGGGCAAAGAUUA
rnacentral:lncRNA from 1 species